CCUACGGGCGGCAGCAGUGAGGAAUAUUGGUCAAUGGACGAGAGUCUGAACCAGCCAAGUAGCGUGAAGGAUGACUGCCCUAUGGGUUGUAAACUUCUUUUAUAUGAGAAUAAAAUGUUCCACGUGUGGGAUUUUGUAUGUACCAUAUGAAUAAGGAUCGGCUAACUCCGUGCCAGCAGCCGCGGUAAUACGGAGGAUCCGAGCGUUAUCCGGAUUUAUUGGGUUUAAAGGGAGCGUAGGUGGAUUGUUAAGUCAGUUGUGAAAGUUUGCGGCUCAACCGUAAAAUUGCAGUUGAAACUGGCAGUCUUGAGUACAGUAGAGGUGGGCGGAAUUCGUGGUGUAGCGGUGAAAUGCUUAGAUAUCACGAAGAACUCCGAUUGCGAAGGCAGUUCACUGGACUGCAACUGACACUGAGGCUCGAAAGUGUGGGUAUCAAACAGGAUUAGAUACCCCAGUAGUC
rnacentral:rRNA from 1 species